GCUUACGACCAUACCACCUUGAGAAUACGCCAUCCCGUCCGAUCUGGCAUGUCAAGCAAGGUUGGGCUCCACUAGUACUUGGAUCGGAGACGUCCUGGGAAUCUGGGGUGUUGUAAGCCAAU
rnacentral:rRNA from 1 species